UGGGUUGAACAUGGGUUUCCUCAUUGGCACGCGACUGAGGUGUUGGAUCAUAGGACAACUGCACAGGUUGCUCCCACACAUACUUCCCAAGAUAUCCCCACCAUAUGAGGUCCUCUAUCUCGUUCUUCACUUCGAUGCAUUGCUUGAUGUCGUGACCAUGGUCGCGAUGGAACCGACAGUAGCAAUUCUGAUUGCAGAAUGUGGGCUUGGACUUCAUAGGCUGAGGUCAUUGAAGAUGGUUUUCUCCCUUUAUUUUUAUGAGAAUCUAUGCACG
rnacentral:lncRNA from 1 species